AUUGAACGCUGGCGGAAUGCUUUACACAUGCAAGUCGAACGGCAGCACGGGAGCAAUCCUGGUGGCGAGUGGCGAACGGGUGAGUAAUGUAUCGGAACGUACCUUUCAGUGGGGGAUAACGUAGCGAAAGUUACGCUAAUACCGCAUAUUCUGUGAGCAAGAAAGCAGGGGAUCGCAAGACCUUGCGCUGAUUGAGCGGCCGAUAUCAGAUUAGCUAGUUGGUGAGGUAAAGGCUCACCAAGGCGACGAUCUGUAGCGGGUCUGAGAGGAUGAUCCGCCACACUGGAACUGAGACACGGUCCAGACUCCUACGGGAGGCAGCAGUGGGGAAUUUUGGACAAUGGGCGCAAGCCUGAUCCAGCCAUGCCGCGUGAGUGAAGAAGGCCUUCGGGUUGUAAAGCUCUUUCGGCCGGGAAGAAAUCGCACAGGUUAAUACCCUGUGUGGAUGACGGUACCGGAAUAAGAAGCACCGGCUAACUACGUG
rnacentral:rRNA from 1 species